GACGAACGCUGGCGGCGUGCUUAACAAAUGCAAGUCGAGCGGAAAGGCCCUUCGGGGUACUCGAGCGGCGAACGGGUGAGUAACACGUGAGUAAUCUGCCCUUCACUCUGGGAUAGCCACCGGAAACGGUGAUUAAUACCGGAUACGACCAAUCCCUGCAUGGGGUGUUGGUGGAAACUUUUUUGGGUGGGGGAUGUGCUCGCGGCCUAUCAGCUUGUUGGUGGGGUAAUGGCCUACCAAGGCUUCGACGGGUAGCCGGCCUGAGAGGGUGACCGGCCACACUGGGACUGAGACACGGCCCAGACUCCUACGAGAGGCAGCAGUGGGGAAUAUUGGACAAUGGGCGGAAGCCUGAUCCAGCAACGCCGCGUGAGGGAUGACGGCCUUCGGGUUGUAAACCUCUUUCAGCACCGACGAAGCGCAAGUGACGGUAGGUGCAGAAGAAGGACCGGCCAACUACGUGCCAGCCGCCGCGGUAAUAC
rnacentral:rRNA from 1 species